rnacentral:rRNA from 1 species
GUAGGGGGCAAGCGUUGUCCGGAUUUAUUGGGCGUAAAGAGCGUGUAGGCGGCCAGACAGGUCCGUUGUGAAAACUAGAGGCUUAACCUCUAGACGUCGAUGGAAACCGUCUGGCUAGAGUCCGGAAGAGGAGAAUGGAAUUCCUGGUGUAGCGGUGAAAUGCGCAGAUAUCAGGAAGAACACCCGUGGCUAAGGCGGUUCUCUAGUACGGUACUGACGCUGAGACGCGAAAGCGUGGGGAGCAAACAGGAUUAGAUACCCUGGUAGUCCACGCCGUAAACGAUGGGUGCUAGUGUGGGGGGUGUCGACUCCCCCCGUGCCGAAGCUAACGCAUUAAGCACCCCGCCUGGGGAGUACGGCCGCAAGGCUA